rnacentral:rRNA from 1 species
AAUUUUCGGCAAUGGGGGAAACCCUGACCGAGCAACGCCGCGUGAACGACGAAGUACCUCGGUAUGUCAAGUUCUUUUAUAUGGGAAGAAAAAGUAAAAAUUUACGGUACCAUAUGAAUAAGCACCGGCUACAUCCGUGCCAGCAGCCGCGGUAAUACGGAGGGUGGGAGCGUUGUCCGGAUUUAUUGGGUUUAAAGGGUGCGUAGGCUGGGAAGUAAGUCAGCGGUGAAAAGCACACGCUUAACGGGUGUCUUGCCGCAGAUACUACUUUUCUUGGAUGAGGAGAAGGUCACUGGAACGGAUGGUGUAGCGGUGGAAUGCAUAGAUAUCGUCCAGAACACCGAUUGCGAAGGCAGGUGACUGUACCUUAAUCGACGCUGAGGCACGAAAGCGUGGGGAGCGAACAGG